rfam:Cavia porcellus complete mitochondrial genome
UAAACAACAGGUUUGGUCCCGGCCUUUUUAUUAGCUGUCUGCAGGAUUAUACAUGCAAAAAUCCCUACACCGGUGAGAAUGCCCUAUGUACCACACUCAGGUUUAAAGGAGCAGACAUCAAGCACACUGCUAAGUAGCUCACGACGUCUUGCUUUGCCACACCCCCACGGGAAACAGCAGUAAUAAAAAUUAAGCAAUAAACGAAAGUUUGACUAAGUUAUGCAGCAAUUAGGGUUGGUAAAUCUCGUGCCAGCCACCGCGGUCAUACGAUUGACCCUAGUUAAUAAACCCCGGCGUAAAAAGUGUUUUGGAAAUAUAAAAAAUAAGGCUAAUCUUUGUCUAAGUUGUAGAAAACUCUAGACAUGGUAGAAAUCAUAAACGAAAGUAGCUUUAAUAAGUCCGACACACGAAAGCUAAGGCCCAAACUGGGAUUAGAUACCCCACUAUGCUUAGCCAUAAACAUAAAAACUUAUACAACAAAAGAUUUCGCCAGAGAACUACUAGCAAUAGCUUAAAACUCAAAGGACUUGGCGGUGCUUUAUACCCACCUAGAGGAGCCUGUUCUAUAAUCGAUAAACCCCGAUACACCUCACCUCUCCUUGCUAAUUCAGCCUAUAUACCGCCAUCUUCAGCCAACCCCAUUAUGGAAACAAAGUGAGCGCAAGUACACUACAUAAAAACGUUAGGUCAAGGUGUAGCCAAUGGAGUGGGAAGAAAUGGGCUACAUUUUCUUACCCAAGAACAUUAAACGCAAAUCUUUAUGAAAUUCAAAGAUCUAAGGAGGAUUUAGUAGUAAAUUAAGAAUAGAGAGCUUGAUUGAACUAGGCCAUGAAGCACGUACACACCGCCCGUCACCCUCCUCAAGUAUCCAAGGGUUUUGUACAAACUAAUAAAUAUUAGAGGAGACAAGUCGUAACAAGGUAAGCAUACUGGAAAGUGUGCUUGGAAACAAAGUGUA